GACGAACGCUGGCGGCGUGCCUAAUACAUGCAAGUCGAGCGCAGGAAACUGACGGAACUCUUCGGAGGGAAGGCAGUGGAAUGAGCGGCGGACGGGUGAGUAACACGUAAGGAACCUGCCUCAAGGAUUGGGAUAACUCCGAGAAAUCGGAGCUAAUACCGGAUAGUUCAACGGACCGCAUGGUCCGCUGAUGAAAGGCGCUCCGGCGUCACCUUGAGAUGGCCUUGCGGUGCAUUAGCUAGUUGGUGGGGUAACGGCCCACCAAGGCGACGAUGCAUAGCCGGCCUGAGAGGGUGAUCGGCCACGCUGGGACUGAGACACGGCCCAGACUCCUACGGGAGGCAGCAGUAGGGAAUCUUCCACAAUGGACGAAAGUCUGAUGGAGCAACGCCGCGUGAGUGAUGAAGGUUUUCGGAUCGUAAAACUCUGUUGUAAGGGAAGAACACGUACGAGAGGGAAUGCUCGUACCUUGACGGUACCUUACGAGAAAGCCACGGCUAACUACGUGCCAGCCGCCGCAGUAAAAC
rnacentral:rRNA from 1 species